GAAGCCGGAAUCGCUAGUAAUCGCGGAUCAGAAUGCCGCGGUGAAUACGUUCCCGGGCCUUGUACACACCGCCCGUCACACCAUGGGAGGUCGGUAACACCCGAAGCCUGUAGUCUAACCGCAAGGAGGACGCAGUCGAAGGUGGGAUUAAUGACUGGGGUGAAGUCGUAACAAGGUAAC
rnacentral:rRNA from 1 species